AAAUAAUAUAACUUUGUUUUUUUAUUAGAAUUUAGUCAUAACAGUCGAACUCUGACCUUUAAUGAAUUAGAUUAACAUCAUUUUAAGGUUGUCAUAUUUGAAAGUAAAACUCUAACUUAUGAACUUUUCAUUUUGGUUAUCCUUUUGAUAGGUCCUCCAAAAUAGAUUAUUGUUAGUGUGACGAGAUGAGUUUGAGUUUGUGGAAGAAGAUGAAAUAGGCGGGUUUAAGAGACAAAGUAUUUG
rnacentral:lncRNA from 1 species